GUAAGGGAAAAGGUUGACCAACGCCACCUUAAGACAAAGGAAUUCCAAUCCCAUUGGGAUCUUAAAGGGGACAUCCCAAAAAAGAGCGCUGAGGAGAGUCACAAAUGACGCACCAGUGUGACCUCCAGCCGGGCCCGCCCUGAGAAAGAAAAGGAAUUCGGUGGGCCAGAUUCCCUCUGUGGCCAGAUCCGUUCACUACAGCUGCCUGGGGAGGAAUUUAGGUGAAGGGUUAUCGUCAAGAGGAAAAUCGAACUUAGAAGGGAGGAGGUCACCAUUUUUGCAGAGGUGCAGAAGGGAACAGAAGCUAUAUCCUGCCCCAUGCUACAACGUUCGGGUAUUCUAAUCGAGCAUCUGUGGCUGUCUCCCACACUAUCAAGCUCCUUAGAUACUGGACAUAUUUCCAUCAACCAAGAGACUGAGCAUAUCGUGCUCAAAAAGAGCAGGUCGGAGCCCCGCAAAAAGGGAGCCCACAGCACCAUCUCCAAAGAGCUGAAUAGUUCCAGGUACAACCAACAAACCAACCGAUUUUUGAGCUCCUGCUGACUUCACAAAGGCAUGUGUACAACAAACCAUUCUGUAAACUGGGAUGCGAGGAGAAAAAGUAGUUGAUAAUCUUCUUGCUGGAAUUUCUGCAAAAACGAAAGCAAGGAAAGUUUCCUCAAGUAUCACCAAGGCUGCACAUGGACCUAUGAAAGCUAGGAAAGUGAGAGCAGGGGACAUCAACUCCUGACUGACAAUACUUCUUUAUCUCAUGCAUUAUGGAAACAAAAAGAAUAAAAACAAACCCCCAAAAUUAGAAUGCCACGAGCAUAAAACAAAGUACCAGCGUGACUUUGCAGAUUAAUUUUGAAUUUCCUUGCUUUCAUUGGUUUAAGAGCCCUAUUGUUACUCUCUUGUUUCUUUAAUUGCAGACACUAAAAAUUCUUUUAUCUUUCAAAGUCCUUAAAGUCUGUUAUAUAAAUACGUAAUUAAAGCCUCUUUCAACUGGGUAUAAUUUACUCUACAGUUUACAACAGCUGCACUAGAGCUAUUACAGUUUAUCAUUUAAAAGCCUAAUUAAGGGCUUCUUAAUUAGUGGAUCCUUCAGUCACUAGACUGUGACUAUGUAAAAGAUGCUUGGCAGCUAUCGCAUGUUACAAAUCUGCAUGAAAUGUUUGCCUGAAAACAGGGGAUGUGCAAGUCCAGAAACACAUUAACUGUCCCAGUAGGUCAGUGCAUCUCAAUGUGCAAACCUCCACAUUAAAGCUACAUUCUCAUCUCCAAGCGCACAGCUCAUUUGCAGACAUGCUUUUCCCUCGUGCACAUGUUGUGGAGAACCACUUCAGUGUCCAGUGCAGGGGUCAGGCUGGGAGACCGCCCAGAGCGGCUCAGUGCCUCCCACUGCACGUCGCACACCUUCCCACGAUUUGCUCUGCCACCCAGCUAUAACACCCAGGCCAAGCUGAAAGCUGAGUCUGUUCCCUGGGCUCCUCAUACAACCUCCUGAAUGCAGGACAGUCGAGCCUGGAAAGGACUACUCUCCAUCUGUUCCUGUGCCCUUUCCCACAGCAUCCCUAGAGCAGCUGCCAGCCUAGCUGGGCUGAGCUGCUAUGCCAGUCCUCUCAGAUGUGGUGAAUCUCAUGUUCAAACACACCCAAGAAGAUGGGGCUGUGCCCACUGGCUGCUCACGCUGGUUCUCACAUGGCUUGUCAAGCGCUUUCUUCAGUGAAUUCCAUUUCUUGCUGUUGCCAUGCUCUCCUCAGCAGCUGUGCCGCUGUGCCGCAUUCAGUGGGAAGCUCCUCCGCCGUGCCCAGAGUACUCACAUCGCUAGGAGGAGGAAGGAAGAUCCAUUUACUGCCUCUCACUUAUAACCACCAACACACAUUUCUCAUUAAUCACCACUAAAUUAGCAGUCCGUCACUGAGAUUUUAAGUGCAAUCUCUGCCCAGGGAUGGUACUGGAAC
ensembl:lncRNA